CCUACGGGAGGCAGCAGUAGGGAAUCUUCCGCANUGGACGAAAGUCUGACGGAGCAACGCCGCGUGAGUGACGAAGGUUUUCGGAUCGUAAAACUCUGUUGUGAGGGAAGAACAAGUACCAACUAACUACUGGUACCUUGACGGUACCUCACCAGAAAGCCACGGCUAACUACGUGCCAGCAGCCGCGGUAAUACGUAGGUGGCAAGCGUUGUCCGGAAUUAUUGGGCGUAAAGCGCGCGCAGGCGGUCCCUUAAGUCUGAUGUGAAAGCCCACGGCUCAACCGUGGAGGGUCAUUGGAAACUGGGGGACUUGAGUGCAGAAGAGGAAAGUGGAAUUCCACGUGUAGCGGUGAAAUGCGUAGAGAUGUGGAGGAACACCAGUGGCGAAGGCGACUUUCUGGUCUGUAACUGACGCUGANGCGCGAAAGCGUGGGGGAGCANACAGGAUUAGAUACCCUGGUAGUCCACGCCGUAAACGAUGAGUGCUAAGUGUUAGGGGGUUUCCGCCCCNUUANUGCUGCAGCUAACGCAUUUAGCACUCCGCCUGGGGAGUACNGCCGCNAGGCUGAAACUCAAAUGAAUUGACGGGG
rnacentral:rRNA from 1 species